AUUGAACGCUGGCGGCAUGCCUUACACAUGCAAGUCGAACGGUAACGGGCCUUCGGGCGCCGACGAGUGGCGAACGGGUGAGUAAUGCAUCGGAACGUACCUUCAGUGGGGGAUAACGUAGCGAAAGUUACGCUAAUACCGCAUAUUCUGUGAGCAGGAAAGCAGGGGAUCGCAAGACCUUGCGCUGAUUGAGCGGCCGAUGUCAGAUUAGCUAGUUGGUGAGGUAAAGGCUCACCAAGGCGACGAUCUGUAGCGGGUCUGAGAGGAUGAUCCGCCACACUGGAACUGAGACACGGUCCAGACUCCUACGGGAGGCAGCAGUGGGGAAUUUUGGACAAUGGGGGCAACCCUGAUCCAGCCAUGCCGCGUGAGUGAAGAAGGCCUUCGGGUUGUAAAGCUCUUUCGGCCGGGAAGAAAUCGUAUGGGCUAAUACCCUGUGCGGAUGACGGUACCGGCAUAAGAAGCACCGGCUAACUACGUG
rnacentral:rRNA from 1 species